ACUUCUUUACACUCUUAAAAAGCAUCGAGGGACAUGACCACAAAACAUUUUCCCAAUAGGUUUUCUUUCUGCUAUGUUGGUAGCAUUCAGCCUAUUGGGAACAUUU
rnacentral:snoRNA from 1 species